CAUACCAUCAUGCCGACGUCGUACGAUGAGCCGCUUUGGUGGGGAUUAUUGGGGAGUGGGUGAGUAACAUGUGGUCAAUCUGCCCGGGACUCUGGGACAAGCCCUGGAAACGGGGUCUAAUGCUGGAUAGUGAUUACCUUGGGCAUCCAAUUGGUUCGAACGCUCCGGCGGUGCCGGAUGAACCCGCGGCCUAUCUUUUUGUUGGUGAGGUAAUGGCUCACCAAGGCGACCACUGUACCCCGGCCUGAGAGGGCGACCGGCCCACUGGGACUGGGACUGGCCCUUCUCCUCCGGGAGGCCUUCCUGGGGAAUAUUGCCCAAGGGCCCAAAGCCUGAUGCAGCGACGCCGGGUGAGGGAUGACGGCCUUCGGGUUGGUUGCCUCUUUUGGCAGGGAAAAACCAAAAUUGACGGUACCUGCCUAACAACCGCCGUCUAACUACUUGCCACCAACCGCGGUAAUACGUACGGCGCAGGCGUUGUCCGGAAUUAUUGGGCGUAUAGAGCUCGUAUGCGGCUUGCCACGACUUUUGUGAAAUGCCGGGGCUUAUGCGCGGGUCUGCAGUCAAUACGGUGAGGCUAGAGCUCGGUAGGGGAGAUCCCAAUUCCUGGUGUAACGGUGAUAUGCGCAGAUAUCACGACGAACACCGGUGGCCACGGCGGAUCUCUGCCCCUAUACUGACGCUGACGAGCGAAAUCGUGGCGAGUUCACUCGAUUAGAUAUCCCUGCUAGUCCACGACUAUAAAC
rnacentral:rRNA from 1 species